GUGCAGCCGCCGCGGUAAUACCGGCAGCUCCAGUGAUGUCCCAUAUUAUUGGGCCUAAAGCGUCCGUAGCUGGCCGACCAAGUCUCCCGGGAAAUCCACCCGCCCAACGGGUGGGCGUCCGGUAGAAACUGGCCGGCUUGGAACCGGAAGGCUCGUAGGGUACGUUCGGGGUAGGAGUGAAAUCCCAUAAUCCCGCACGGACCACCGAUGGCGAAAGCACUUCGAGAAAACGGAUCCGACAGUGAGGGACGAAAGCCAGGGUCUCCAACCGGAUUAGAAACCCGAGUAGUCC
rnacentral:rRNA from 1 species